UGCCGACUGGAAGUCUGAUGAGAGAGUGGGUGUGUCACUUUGUCUGACAGCUGACUACCCUUGGAACGUUACUUUCUGCCUUUCAUUGUAUACAUUUUUGGUACACAAUGCCUGCAAAGAAGAAGCAGUUUGCCAAGAACAUUAGCCACAAGAGGAAAAGGCACAUAGAAGCAAUGAUAAGGUCUAUACAAGCAAAGUGAGCAGCAGCUGCUGUGGCUGGUGACGCCGCCACGAUGCUAGUACCACCACCCUCCUCUCAACACCUGUCCUUGUUCACUGCUACUGAACUAUUGGAUAUUUCAUGUUCAGAAACAAGUUAGACAAAAUAUAGGAGCCCCGCAAAUAUGCCCACCUCCACCACGGCUGCUACUACCACAACUACUACCACCACGGCUGCUACUACCACAACUACUACCUCCACUGCUGCUACUACCACAACUACUACCUCCACUGCUGCCUGGAGGACAUUAGAUAAUCAUGUGUCCACCUACAUCCAGUCAUAGAUUGAUUGGGAUGGAUUUUUCAGAUUGGCCGGCCACCAGAGAACUUCAGGACAAAGGGAUCUUCAUGGAACUUUAGGAAUAAUGUCUAUAUAACCAGUUCUACUCUCAAUAAACGUAUAAAGGCACUAUGAGUAUUUUUACCCACUGUAUAGUAAUGUUCAAUGUAUUUGUUGAUUUUUUUCAAAAGUGCAUUUAUUUGUAUUUUUCUGAGGUAAAACCAUUAUUUAUGAACCGAUCAUUCUGAAU